CUACGGGACGCACCAGUAGGGAAUAUUGCACAAUGGACGAAAGUCUGAUGCAGCAACGCCGCGUGUGCGAUGAAGGCCUUCGGGUUGUAAAGCACUUUUCUGAGGGAAGAGGAAGGACGGUACCUCAGGAAUAAGUCUCGGCUAACUACGUGCCAGCAGCCGCGGUAACACGUAGGAGGCAAGCGUUAUCCGGAUUUACUGGGCGUAAAGCGCGUGCAGGCGGUUCGGUAAGUUGGAUGUGAAAGCUCCUGGCUCAACUGGGAGAUGCCGUUCAAUACUGCCGGACUCGAGGACGGUAGAGGGAGGUGGAAUUCCCGGUGUAGUGGUGAAAUGCGUAGAUAUCGGGAGGAACACCAGUGGCGAAAGCGGCCUCCUAGGCCGUUCCUGACGCUAAGACGCGAAAGCAUGGGUAGCGAACGGGAUUAGAUACCCGCGUAGUC
rnacentral:rRNA from 1 species